rnacentral:rRNA from 1 species
ACCAACAGGGAUUGCCUCAGUAACGGCGAGUGAAGCGGCAAGAGCUCAAAUUUGAAAGCUGGCCCCUUCGGGGUCCGCGUUGUAAUUUGCAGAGGAUGCUUCGGGUGCAGCCCCCGUCUAAGUGCCCUGGAACGGGCCGUCAUAGAGGGUGAGAAUCCCGUCUGGGACGGGGUGUCUGCGUCCGUGUGAAGCUCCUUCGAAGAGUCGAGUUGUUUGGGAAUGCAGCUCUAAAUGGGUGGUAAAUUUCAUCUAAAGCUAAAUACUGGCCGGAGACCGAUAGCGCACAAGUAGAGUGAUCGAAAGAUGAAAAGCACUUUGAAAAGAGAGUUAAACAGCACGUGAAAUUGUUGAAAGGGAAGCGUUUGCGACCAGACUCGCUCGCGGGGUUCAGCCGGCAUUCGUGCCGGUGUACUUCCCCGUGGGCGGGCCAGCGUCGGUUUGGGCGGCCGGUCAAAGGCCCUCGGAAUGUAUCACCUCUCGGGGUUGUCUUAUAGCCGAGGGUGCAAUGCGGCCUGCCCGGACCGAGGAACGCGCUUCGGCUCGGACGCUGGCGUAAUGGUCGUAAAUGACCCGUCUUGA